CAGCAGCCGCGGUAAUACCGGCGGCCCGAGUGGCGGUCACUAUUAUUUGGCUUAAAGCGUCCGUAGCCGGGUUGGGAAGUCCUCCGGGGAAUCUGGCCGCUUAACGGUCAGAAUGCCGGAGGAUACUCCCAGCCUAGGGAGCGGGAGAGGCCGAGGGUAUUCCCGGAGUAGGGGUGAAAUCCUAUAAUCCCGGGAGGACCACCUGUGGCGAAGGCGCUCGGCUGGAACGCGUCCGACGGUGAGGGACGAAGGCCAGGGGAGCAAACCGGAUUAGAUACCCGGGUAGUCCUGGCUGUAAACGAUGCGGACUUUGUGUCGGACAAGCUAUGAGCUUGUCCGGUGCCGGAGGGAAACCGUUAAGUCCGCCGCCUGGGGAGUACGGCCGCAAGGCUGAAACUUAAAGGAAUUGGCGGG
rnacentral:rRNA from 1 species